GGAGAGAUGCCGGAGUGGUCGAACGGGGCGGUCCCGAAAACCGUUGAGGGUCACACCUCCGAGGGUUCGAAUCCCUCUCUCUCCG
rnacentral:tRNA from 1 species